UCUACAAGCUUGCGAGCGACAGCGCUUCCCCUCUUUUUCGAGUGGACGCUCAGUCAGGCGCCCUGGAGCUGCUUGGUCCCCUCGACUUCGAGUACCAAACUCAGCACAACCUGACGGUUGUAGCAACGAGCAAGGAUGGCAAGAUCGGCAGCAACGAAGCUCACGUGACAGUCGAGGUGCUUGACGCCAACGAUCACUCGCCAGUCUUCGCCGUCCAGCGACAUGAGGCGCAAAUAACUGAAGAAGAUAACCACAACUUGCCCAGGCCCGUAUUUACGGUUACAGCUACCGAUGGAGAUAAGGGAGAGUGGGGAGUGCUGCGGUAUUCUAUUUCUGGGG